AUGGAUACAAGUACAACGACAAGGGAGUUCACACUCGAGUUCUUGGAACAAAUUACAGAUAAUUUUUCUGAAAAGCACGUCAUCGGUCGUGGUGGGUAUGGAGUAGUUUACAAGGGAGUACUGGAAAAUGGGGAAGAGAUCGCUCUCAAAAAGCUUCAUCACGUGUCGGGGCUUGAUGACACACAAUUUAUGAAUGAGUUUAAUCACCUUAUGAGGGCCCAACAUCCAAAUAUUACCCGGUUGGUUGGUUACUGCUAUUAUACAGGACAUCAACGCAUAAAGUUCAAUGGUGACUAUGUGUUUUCCUUUGUGGAUGAAAGAGUUCUCUGCUUUGAAUACUUGGAGGGUGGAAGCCUUGACAAGCAUAUUUCUGGUAGGAUUGAUGCUCUCACCGUUUUUGCAUAUGAAUCAUGCGGACUUGAUUGGCAUACAUGUUUCAACAUUAUUAAGGGAGUUUGUGAGGGCCUAAAUUAUCUUCAUAAUGGCUCCAAUGUUCCUAUUUACCAUCUUGAUUUGAAACCCGCAAAUAUAUUAUUAGACAAGAACAUGGUCCCGAAAAUUGGCGAUUUUGGUUUGUCAAGACUCUUCCCUUCAACACAAACACAUGUCACAAUCAAGAUUAUAGGAACACCGGGAUACAUGCCACCAGAAUACAUCGAGAGACACGAAAUCACGUCAAAGUAUGACGUAUUCAGUUUGGGUGUUAUAAUCGUGCGGAUGAUGGCAGGGGAUGAGGGCUACUCCAGAUAUGCACAUAUGUCUUUGCAAGAGUUUCUUGAGCAUGUAUAUGAAAAGUGGGAAAAGCGGUUGCAGGAAAAAUUGCCGUCGCGCAUAUCUGAACAAAUUACGACAUGCAUCGAAUUAGCAUUAAGGUGUUUGGAAGUUCGCCGAGAGGAAAGGCCAACAAUAGCCGAGAUUGUCGAUGAGCUGAAUAAGGUUGAUACCGGAGAAAGUUCACAUACAGGCCAGGACUGCCAGGUCGCCAGGAACCAAAACACAAACUCAGAGCGACGCGGCAGAAUUGUAUUCUAUACCACCAACAGGCCCCCAGUACCAUUCGACAUGUUUUCCUGUGGUUUCUCCUCGUCACCCAUCGAUGAUGAGCUUCACCUCACCGACGGUGUGUCCUGCAACUACAACGGCUGCCCCGUCCCACCCGCCGCCCUAAAGGCCCUCUUCAAGAGACCGAAGCUGGCAGACGUGGGUGGCGUUAUUGAUGCAGACAUCGAUGCUGGGCACGUCUCCGGCCUUGUCUUUGUCUCCGAGAGGGACGACGGCCUCGAGACGCUCUACAUCGCCAUACGGUUCAGUGCCGACAGCAAGGUCAAAGUAUUCUCCCUCGCUGAUAUCUUUGGCGCCGCUGACUUUAGUGGCGUUCGUCUGGAGGACAGUGGCUGCUUUGGCGGCGGCUACAGUGUGGGGUCUCGCACCGUCGAUCACUGUCUCAUCUACAUCUCCACCAAGGAGCCCGUGCAGCAAGGCCGCAGCCCCUGGACUGUCGUGUACAAAACCAACCUUGCAACAGGCAAGACAGAGCGCCUCACUCCACAAGGGGUAUUUGAUUUGAGCCCCGCGGUGUCGCCGUCGGGUAAGGCAGUAGCAGUGGCGUCGUUUGAAGGCAAGAGUUGGAAUGGCGACGUCGAGAAACUCAACGUUAACACUAACAUCUACGUGAUGAACGUGGGUAGUGAGGAGUGUGAGGGCCUAGGGCGGAAGCUACUCAUCGAGAACGGUGGCUGGCCAUCCUGGGGCAGCAACGACAUCAUCUUCUUCCAUCGACGCACCAACAUAACUGGCAUUUCCUUGAGGAGCACAGCUGAAACAUAUUGGGGUGUGUUCCGGCACAACAUCAGUACCAAGGUGACUAUCCAGGUGACUCCUGAGGAGUUGGACGCCGUGACUCCAGCAGCCAUCAGCGAGACCAAGGUAGCGGUGGCGACCAUCCGCAAGAAGACAAUGCGCAGCGACGGCAGUGUGGAGGCGCCGUACCGGCACAUCGAGAUUUUCGACACUAAUGCCCCAGGGCUGCCACCGAUACAGAUCACCCAGAAGACGAACCCAGAAAGCCACCACUACAACCCCUUUGUGCUGGACGGUGGGUUGCGCAUUGGAUACCACCGCUGCAGGCUCCUGCAGCAUGGGUAUGGCGACCAGAUCGCUUCCAACUUGCACAGGCUGCAGUCCCCUGUGAGGGAUGUUGGUUUGUUUCGGGCGUGUGGCCUGUUCCCAUCCAUCUCAGAAGACGGCUCCAAGCUUGCCUUCGUGGACAGUGAGUUCAAGAAGGUGUCGGUAGUCGACAGCAAAGGGCUACGCAUCGUGUGCAUGGCGAGGGGCACGAACCGCGUCUUCUCCCCUGUGUGGAACCAGAACCCUGACAAGGAUGUCCUUUACUUCUGCAUUGGCCAUUCCUUGAGCUCCGACGAGGCGCUGGAGAUCUACUCCAUCAGCAACGCCUCUGGUGAGCCAGAGCAGCAACAGGUCCAAAGGCUCACCUAUGGAGGGUUCAACAACGCGUCACUGUCGAGUAGCCCGGACGGGAAUAAAUUCGUCUUCCAGUCGACGAGGGAUUUUUGUAAAGAUAAUUCACUGUCCACGAGGGAUUUUUUUCCGACAAAAAAGGAUCCAACUUAUGGGAGUGAUCCUUCUUUUGGGGAAGAAAGCUCUUGGCAGCCAUCGCAAAGAAGGAAAAAGGAAAAAAAUUCGCACCAGGACCAGGAGGAGAUUGAUGGAACCAAGGAAUAUCACAAGAACCUAUACAUAAUGCUGAACUCAGACGUCCAGCCUGGACUCAGAUCCGAGGAAGGUUGGGUGAUGCGGCUGACGAGAGGCCCAUGGACAGAUACCCACUGCCAGUGGUCGCCGAAAGGGGACUGGAUUGUCUUCUCAUCGUCACGCGGCAGAGAGCUGGACAGCAGCCUUGACCAGGGGCAUUACUCCUUGUACCUGGUGAAGCCCAGCGACCCGACCGUGGUGAUAAGGGUUAUGGGCAGCGGGGCCCAUCUCGGAGGCCACCUAAACCACCCAGUGUUCAGCCCGGACGGGAGGAGCAUCGCCGUGACUGCGGGCCCUGCCACUGUGUCAGUUGAGCCGAUCUCGCUGCCGCAGUUCACGCAUGGGUUGCGGUCUCACAGUGGUGACAUCUUCGUGGUGGACAUCAACGACCCAGACAGCAAGAAGCAGAAGGAGGACGUGAUAAAAGGGUUCCGCCGGAUCACGCACAGCAGGUACGAGUGUGGGACGCCGGCGUGGACUCGGAUCUUGGCCGCUGCGACAGAGCCAAACGUGGAGUGGUUGUCGUAUGUCCGCGCUGCGACAGAGCCAAACGUGGAGUCGAACAUGUUGCUGGAUAUGGACAAGCAAUGGAGGGAAUGCUGGCGAAAACUGCAAGAACUGGAAGAAUUAAUAUUGUACAAUGGUCACUUCGUCCCGUAA
rnacentral:rRNA from 1 species